rnacentral:rRNA from 1 species
CACACGACUCUCGGCAACGGAUAUCUCGGCUCUCGCAUCGAUGAAGAACGUAGCGAAAUGCGAUACCUGGUGUGAAUUGCAGAAUCCCGCGAACCAUCGAGUCUUUGAACGCAAGUUGCGCCCGAGGCCACUUGGCCGAGGGCACGCNUGCNUGGGAGUCACGC